rnacentral:rRNA from 1 species
AGUGGGGAAUCUUCCGCAAUGGACGAAAGUCUGACGGAGCAACGCCGCGUGAGUGAUGACGGUCUUCGGAUUGUAAAGCUCUGUUAAUCGGGACGAAAGAGCUCUGUGUGAAUAAUGCAGAGAAGUGACGGUACCGGAAUAGAAAGCCACGGCUAACUACGUGCCAGCAGCCGCGGUAAUACGUAGGUGGCAAGCGUUGUCCGGAAUUAUUGGGCGUAAAGCGCGCGCAGGCGGGUUUUUAAGUCUGUCUUAAAAGUUCGGGGCUUAACCCCGUGAGGGGAUGGAAACUGGAAACCUAGAGUAUCGGAGAGGAAAGCGGAAUUCCUAGUGUAGCGGUGAAAUGCGUAGAUAUUAGGAAGAACACCAGUGGCGAAGGCGGCUUUCUGGACGAAAACUGACGCUGAGGCGCGAAAGCCAGGGGAGCAAACGGGAUUAGAUACCCCGGUAGUCCUGGCCGUAAACGAUGGGUACUAGGUGUAGGAGGUAUCGACCCCUUCUGUGCCGGAGUUAACGCAAUAAGUACCCCGC